UCUCAUGUGUUUAAUAUAGGGUCCAAGAUCUUCUUUGUUUCUUUUUAGCUGUUUCAAUUGACCCUAUCCAACGGGUUUAACCAACCAACCAACCAACCAACCAACCAACCAACCAACUAAUCAAUCAAUCAAUCAAUUAAUCAUGAUCAUGAUCAUGAUCAAUCAAUCAUGUUUCAUGAAAAAAUUGAAAUUUAAUAUUGUUCUUGCGUCACUUCUGAAAAAAAAUCCACAUGUACUCUGAAACUACAAGUACAAUCGACCUCAAAAUUUGCAGUCAGCAGGGCAUACAUGUACUAAAAGUUUAUAAAAAAAACUUGGUGCAGAUAUCUCUCAAAGUUUUUCCUAGAGAAAAGAAAUGGCAAUGCCGUAAAAAUCGCUUGCUAGGUCCGUAAAUUUCAGUAAAAACCUACAAUAAAAUGUCCGCCCCGAGAUUGAAAUACUAAUCUGUGUUACAAACAGGUGCUGAAAAAUGUACAAUAUCAGAAAAUAAUCAAUAAAUGUGUUUUAAAGUUACACCGGAUCAAUUAAAUCCAAAACAUGCACUGCCCGUGAACUGUGAUCAAGAUGUCAAUUUCCUACAAUGACAAAAGAAAUUACAUUGUGUACAUUCCAUCUCUAUACAUGUUGUCUGUUCAACGUCCCGACCUAAAGAGAAAUAAAAAGACUAAGUUUUUCUUAAUAUAAACCCGCGUCACGUGGUGUCUCCUCAAUCUGGCGCGCGCGCUGUACCUAAAAUAAAAGAAAAACUUUCCAAACUAAACAUGAAACUUCUCCGGUAACAAUAAUAUAGACCCCAUACAGAAACAAACAAACAAGCAAACAAUCAAACAAACAAACACCCCCCCCCCCAAAUUCAAUUAAUUCUAAAGGGGGAAAGACCACCUACAAUUGCUUUUUUAAAGCAAUUGAUUUAUAUUUAUUAUUAUUAUUUUUUUCUUCCGCCAAAUUUUGUUCUUGCGCAAAAUGUUUGUUUCGCAAUAUGUCGCUUAGAUAUUUCCCAUAUGGUAUCGUAUAGUUUAUGCGCUUUUAAAUUUCACCCUGCUAAGACGAACCAUUUUCUAUGUAAGAGUUAUCUCCCUUUUCACUGUUUAACCUCUGUGUGCAUCUCCUUCGUAACAAAAAAAAAUAGCGACAAAAUUCUUUUUACAAAUUGUUCGUUACAUCCUCAGAAAUUUUUGGC
rnacentral:lncRNA from 1 species